GUGUCAGCAGCCGCGGUAAUACGUAGGGUGCGAGCGUUAAUCGGAAUUACUGGGCGUAAAGCGUGCGCAGGCGGUUUUGUAAGACAGAUGUGAAAUCCCCGGGCUUACCUGGGACCUGCAUUUGUGACUGCAAGGCUAGAGUACGGUAGAGGGGGAUGGAAUUCCGCGUGUAGCAGUGAAAUGCGUAGAUAUGCGGAGGAACACCGAUGGCGAAGGCAAUCCCCUGGACCUGUACUGACGCUCAUGCACGAAAGCGUGGGGAGCAAACAGGAUUAGAUACCCUGGUAGUCCACGCCCUAAACGAUGUCAACUGGUUGUUGGGUCUUCACUGACUCAGUAACGAAGCUAACGCGUGAAGUUGACCGCCUGGGGAGUACGGCCGCAAGGUUGAAACUUAAAGGAAUUGACGGGG
rnacentral:rRNA from 1 species